GAUGAACGCUGGCGGCGUGCCUAAUACAUGCAAGUCGAGCGAACAGACGAGGAGCUUGCUCCUCUGACGUUAGCGGCGGACGGGUGAGUAACACGUGGAUAACCUACCUAUAAGACUGGGAUAACUUCGGGAAACCGGAGCUAAUACCGGAUAAUAUAUUGAACCGCAUGGUUCAAUAGUGAAAGACGGUUUUGCUGUCACUUAUAGAUGGAUCCGCGCCGCAUUAGCUAGUUGGUAAGAUAACGGCUUACCAAGGCAACGAUGCGUAGCCGACCUGAGAGGGUGAUCGGCCACACUGGAACUGAGACACGGUCCAGACUCCUACGGGAGGCAGCAGUAGGGAAUCUUCCGCAAAGGGCGAAAGCUUGACGGAGCAACGCCGCGUGAGUGAUGAAGGUCUUCGGAUCGUAAAACUCUGUUAUUAGGGAAGAACAAAUGUGUAAGUAACUAUGCACGUCUUGACGGUACCUAAUCAGAAAGCCACGGCUAACUACGUG
rnacentral:rRNA from 1 species